AGUCGAACGAUGAUGCUCCAGCUUGCUGGGGUGGAUUAGUGGCGAACGGGUGAGUAACACGUGAGUAACCUGCCCUUCACUUUGGGAUAAGCCUUGGAAACGGGGUCUAAUACCGGGUAUACACAUUCUGCCGCAUGGUGGUGUGUGGAAAGCUUUUGUGGUGAGGGAUGGACUCGCGGCCUAUCAGCUUGAUGGUGGGGUAGUGGCCUACCAUGGCUUUGACGGGUAGCCGGCCUGAGAGGGUGACCGGCCACACUGGGACUGAGACACGGCCCAGACUCCUACGGGAGGCAGCAGUGGGGAAUAUUGCACAAUGGGCGGAAGCCUGAUGCAGCGACGCCGCGUGGGGGAUGAAGGCUUUCGGGUCGUAAACUCCUUUCAGCAGGGACGAAGCUUUUUGUGACGGUACCUGCAGAAGAAGCACCGGCUAACUACGUGCCAGCAGCCGCGGUAAUACGUAGGGUGCGAGCGUUGUCCGGAAUUAUUGGGCGUAAAGAGCUUGUAGGCGGUUUGUCGCGUCUGCCGUGAAAGCCCAGGGCUUAACCCUGGGUCUGCGGUGGGUACGGGCAGACUAGAGUGUGGUAGGGGAGACUGGAAUUCCUGGUGUAGCGGUGAAAUGCGCAGAUAUCAGGAGGAACACCGAUGGCGAAGGCAGGUCUCUGGGCCACUACUGACGCUGAGAAGCGAAAGCAUGGGGAGCACACAGGAUUAGAUACCCUGGUAGUCCAUGCCGUAAACGUUGGGAACUAGGUGUGGGCCUCAUUCCACGAGGUCCGUGCCGUAGCUAACGCAUUAAGUUCCCCGCCUGGAGAGUACGGCCGCAAGGCUAAGACUCAAAGGAAUUGACGGGGGCCCGCACAAGCGGCGGAGCAUGCGGAUUAAUUCGAUGCAACGCGAAGAACCUUACCAAGGCUUGACAUACACCGGAAUGUGCCAGAGAUGGUGCAGCCUUCGGGCUGGUGU
rnacentral:rRNA from 1 species